AACACUGGCUGACUAUAUAUCUGAGAUGUACAACACACGAAAAGAGUUCAAUAUAAGAAGCCAACCAAUUCCUUAGAAUAGAGGAUUGUGUAUCAUUUUUCUUUCUCAAAUUUUGAAGGGUUAAGUUACCUUUGGGGUUGAGGUUGGGAGAUUAAAAGGUACUUUAUAAAAAAUAAUAUUUUAAAUACGGCUGAAAAAAAAAUUAUUUGUCAAAUUUAACUUUAAACUAAU
rnacentral:misc_RNA from 1 species